GUUGUUUGCCAUGGUAACCCCGUCAUUUUGUGAUUUUUUUUCUGUGUUUAUCUGUCAUAAUAAUUCAUCAACGAUUUAUCCACAAAUUUUAUAGAGUCUCAAAAAAAAACUUCUGUUUGCACUAUGUAGAGCACCAUUGAUGAUAAUAAUAAUAAUAAUAAUAAAAUUAUUGUCUGUCAAACAAACGA